rnacentral:rRNA from 1 species
UAUCGGUACUCCGAAUGCAUCUCGAUUAGAGUUGAUCAUGGCUCAGAGUGAACGCUGGCGGUAGGCCUAACACAUGCAAGUCGAACGGCAGCACAGAGGAGCUUGCUCCUUGUGGUGGCGAGUGGCGGACGGGUGAGUGAAUACAUCGGAAUCUACUCUGUCGUGGGGGAUAACUGUACGGGAAACUUACGGCUAAUACCGCAUACGACCUACGGGUGAAGGCAGGGGAUACUUCGGACCUUGUCGCUGAUUUGAACUUGAGCCGAUGUCGGACUUAUAG